CUUCUGCUUUAGGCAAUGGGGACACCUGGGAAACACAGUGUCAAGGAGCCCAUCUCCAUUUUAGAAAGACAGAGAUGCGUUCUGGGCCGUUGCCCGGGAAAGAAUGUCUACCAGGACAGUUCUGAGAAGGCUCAGCAUCAUAUCUAAACACAGGAAAGGAAUUCCCUGUUGGAAAAUUCAGGAUGACAACUGUGGGUAGCAAGCCAAGGCAAAGGGCAGAACGUGGAGCAGCAUUUGAGGCUCCAGCCAAUUCCAGCCUGUCUGCAGGCACUGCCUGCCUCCACGGCUGUCAGGUGUCGCCCCCAGGAGCUACGUAGGGCGAAGCUAGGCAGGCUUUCAGUGCCAGCUGUGGUUUCCCCAACAGCUCACAGGCCAGAGGCCCCGCCCAGGCCACCUCCUCCAGUCCCCCUGCCGCGGGGUGGUCUUCGGUGGUCUCACUCUCCCUCCCACUGCAUUUCCAUCUCUGCUGUAAUAUACCACCUCAGCCCUUCCUUUUUGAUUCCCAAGAGCAAAUUUUGGAAAUAAA
rnacentral:lncRNA from 10 species